AGACACACAUCUGAUCUUCACUACUCAGG
rnacentral:piRNA from 1 species